rnacentral:rRNA from 1 species
GACAGAGGGGGCAAGCGUUGCUCGGAAUUACUGGGCGUAAAGGGCGCGUAGGCGGGAUGGCAAGUCGGUCGUGAAAUCCCACGGCUCAACCGUGGAACUGCUUGGUAUACUGGUUUUCUUGAGCCACUUAGGGGCUGUCGGAACAAGCGGUGGAGCGGUGAAAUGCGUAGAUAUCGCUUGGAACGCCAAAGGUGAAAACAGACAGCUGGGAGUGUGCUGACGCUGAGACACGAAAGCCAGGGGAGCGAACGGG